rnacentral:rRNA from 1 species
GGAUGAACGCUGGCGGCGUGCUUAACACAUGCAAGUCGAACGGUGAAGCCAAGCUUGCUUGGUGGAUCAGUGGCGAACGGGUGAGUAACACGUGAGCAACCUGCCCUGGACUCUGGGAUAAGCGCUGGAAACGGCGUCUAAUACUGGAUAUGAGCUCUCAUCGCAUGGUGGGGGUUGGAAAGAUUUUUCGGUCUGGGAUGGGCUCGCGGCCUAUCAGCUUGUUGGUGAGGUAAUGGCUCACCAAGGCGUCGACGGGUAGCCGGCCUGAGAGGGUGACCGGCCACACUGGGACUGAGACACGGCCCAGACUCCUACGGGAGGCAGCAGUGGGGAAUAUUGCACAAUGGGCGGAAGCCUGAUGCAGCAACGCCGCGUGAGGGAUGACGGCCUUCGGGUUGUAAACCUCUUUUAGCAGGGAAGAAGCGAGAGUGACGGUACCUGCAGAAAAAGCGCCGGCUAACUACGUGCCAGCAGCCGCGGUAAUACGUAGGGCGCAAGCGUUAUCCGGAAUUAUUGGGCGUAAAGAGCUCGUAGGCGGUUUGUCGCGUCUGCUGUGAAAUCCCGAGGCUCAACCUCGGGCCUGCAGUGGGUACGGGCAGACUAGAGUGCGGUAGGGGAGAUUGGAAUUCCUGGUGUAGCGGUGGAAUGCGCAGAUAUCAGGAGGAACACCGAUGGCGAAGGCAAAUCUCUGGGCCGUAACUGACGCUGAGGAGCGAAAGGGUGGGGAGCAAACAGGCUUAGAUACCCUGGUAGUCCACCCCGU